UUCUCCCUCACUGCUCCAUGACGGCGACCUUCCCUCGAGGAGGGCCGUUCUCGGUCAAGGGUAUCCGAGCACCCGCGUUACCGGCUAAAACCUCCAAACAAAUGACCGCCAAGUGCAGGAGCGGGAAGUCCCGCCCAGAAGCGAUGCGCGCGCACGAAAACGCCUCAUUGUGGUCCCUCAUUGGCUCAUCUCUGCUGUCUCUCUCCCUCAGUUCUUCAGGGUGCCAUAGUUCCCGGAGCUCUGGAGGCCGCGGGGAAGAGUGUUCUCCAUCCUGACCCAGUACGGUCUUGGCCACGGGUCCCCUGAGAGAUGCUGGAAAUUGGUGCUCGUACCCAGAGAGAGGGGCUUUGCUCCCUGUUAAAGGCGGCGAAGAGAUGUAAUUUCAGACUCGGUGAAGAUUGUAUUUCUUAGAGCAGUUUUACCAUCAUAGCACAACUGAGCGGAAGGUACAGGGAAUUCCCGUAUACCUCCAGCCCCGCCACAUGCAAUGUGUUCACAGGAAAGGUCAUCUACAAGCCAAGAAGAGAGUUCACACUAGAAACCAAUGCUGACGGCACCUUGAUCUUGAACUUCUAGACUCCCAAACUGUAAGAAAAUAAGUUUCUGUUGUUUAAGUCACCCACUCUAUGAUACUUUGUUAUGAUAACCUGAGCUGACUAAUGCACAUUAUGGUAGCAGGAGUUGGAUGUUGCUGUAACAAAUACCUAAAAAUGUGGAAGUGAUUUUGGAACUGAGUAAUUGGUAAAGCCUGGAAGAGUUUUGCGGUACAUGCUAUUAUUGAUAAAAAUCUCUGGAAAACAGGAGUUUUGUCAAAGGAAAGCUUUGUUGUAUUUGCAUGAACAGUUUGCAAACCAGGGAGACGCAGAGUUUGGGGCAAACUGAAAGUACACUCUGAAGAGGGGGAAGGCCCAGCAAGGGUUUUAAAGACUAAAACCACAGAAGCCACAGGAACAUUUUCGCAGUUCCUCUACUAGCUUAUCCUCACAUAGAAACUAUUGUCUUGUGCUGACUCCCUGCUGGGUUAAGGUGAGGCUGUAUUGGGCUGAGCUACCUAGAUACAGAAGGAAACAUUUGGUUACAAGUACAGCUUGAGGUUUUUCUCAACAGAACAGAAUAUGUGACUGCACAUUGGUCCCAUUAUGGCCACUUGACUCCACCCUGUUUUUAGGGCCCAGUUAGCCACACAGAGUCCAUUUUGUUUUUCUCUAUUAUUCCGUGUUUGGCGGUUUCUGAUUUUAUUUCAUUCCACACCAUAUAAAGAAAAGAUUGCCUUCAAGGGACUGUUGGUAGAAAUAUUAACGUUAAUGGUGAUUCUGCUAAGGUCUCAGAUGGAAACUAAGAUGGAAAUGUGACUAGAAAUUGGAGCAAAGGCAAUCCUUGUUAUAAUGUGGUAAGAACAUGGUGAAAUUGUGUUAGAGUGUUUGGGCAGGUAGAUGUGGUUUGUGAUGCACUCGCAUAUUUACCUGAGGAUACUUCUAAGCACAGCGUUGAAAGUGCAGCUUGGGUUUUCUUUACUAUUUAUUGUAAAAUGCAAGAGGUAGGAGAUGAACUGAAGAAAGACUUUUUAAUCAAACAAGAAUCAGAAUUUGAAGAUUUGGAAAGUUUUCCAUCAUCCAUAGUGCAAAAAAAUAAGAAACCGUGUUCUAGACACAACACCAAGAUAUGGCUGGAAAAUUAUUUGAUAAAGAGAUUAUGGGGGCUGGCCCGGUGGUGUAGUGGUUAACUUUGCGCAUUCCACUUUGGUGGCCCAGGGUUUGCAGGUUCGGAUCCCGGGGUGGACUCAUCAAGCCAUGCUGUAGUGGCAUCCAAUAUACAAGGUAGAGGAGGAUUGGCUCAGAUGUUAGCUCAGGGACCAUCUUCCUCAAGCAAAAAGAGGAAGAUUGGCAAUAGAU